UACGUAGGGGGCAAGCGUUGUCCGGAAUCAUUGGGCGUAAAGAGCGCGUAGGCGGUCCGGUAAGUCCGCUCUGAAAGUCCAGGGCUCAACCCUGGGAUGCCGGUCGAUACUGCCGGACUAGAGUUCGGAAGAGGCGAGUGGAAUUCCCGGUGUAGCGGUGAAAUGCGCAGAUAUCGGGAGGAACACCAAUGGCGAAGGCAGCUCGCUGGGACGUUACUGACGCUGAGACGCGAAAGCGUGGGGAGCAAACAGG
rnacentral:rRNA from 1 species